AUUGAACGCUGGCGGCAGGCCUAACACAUGCAAGUCGAACGAGUGGCGGACGGGUGAGUAAUGUCUGGGAAACUGCCUGAUGGAGGGGGAUAACUACUGGAAACGGUAGCUAAUACCGCAUACCAUCAGAUGUGCCCAGAUGGGAUUGGCUUGUUGGUGGGGUAACGGCUCACCAAGGCGGAGAUCCCUAGCUGGGCUUAGAGGAUGACCCACACCACGGGAAUGGAGCCACGGUCCAUAUUCCAACGGAGGGCAGCGUUGGGGAAUAUUGCACAAGGGGCGCAAGCCUGAUACAGCCAUGCCGCGGGUAUGAAGAAGGCCUUCGGGGUGUAAAGUACGUUCAGCGGGGAGGCGUUACCCGAAGAAGAAGCACCGGCUAACUCCGUGCCAGCAGCCGCGGUAAUUC
rnacentral:rRNA from 1 species